rnacentral:rRNA from 1 species
AGCACCACAACAGGUGGAGCUGCGGUUUAAUCGGACUCAACGCCGGGAAACUCACCAGAUAAGACAGCUGAAUGAUAGUCGGGCUGAAGACUCUACUUGACUAGCUGAGAGGAGGUGCAUGGCCGUCGUCAGUUCGUACUGUGAAGCAUCCUGUUAAGUCAGGCAACGAGCGAGACCCACGCCAACAGUUGCCAGCUCGUCCUCCGGGAUGGUGGGGACACUGUUGGGACCGCCUCUGCUAAAGAGGAGGAAGGAAAUGGGCAACGGUAGGUCAGCAUGCCCCGAAUUAUCUGGGCUACACGCGGGCUACAAUGGGUGGGACAAUGGGUAUCGACACCGAAAGGUGAAGGCAAUCUCCUAAACCCAUCCGUAGUUCGGAUUGUGGGCUGCAACUCGCCCACAUGAAGCUGGAAUCUGUAGUAAUCGUGUCUCAAAAUGGCACGGUGAAUAUGUCCCUGCUCCUU